GCCAGGCAUGGUGACGCGUGCCUGUAAUCCCAGCUACUCAGGAGGCUGAGGCAAGAGAAUGGCUUGAACCCAGGAGGCUGAGGUUGCAGUGAGCCAAGAAUGUACCACUGCACUCCAGCCUGGGCAACAGAAUGAGAUUCUGUCUCAU
ensembl:misc_RNA Metazoa_SRP Metazoan signal recognition particle RNA